UACAGAGGGGGCAAGCGUUGUUCGGAAUUACUGGGCGUAAAGGGCGCGUAGGCGGCCAACUAAGUCAGACGUGAAAUCCCUCGGCUCAACCGGGGAACUGCGUCUGAUACUGGAUGGCUUGAAUUCGGGAGAGGGAUGCGGAAUUCCAGGUGUAGCGGUGAAAUGCAUAGAUAUCUGGAGGAACACCGGUGGCGAAGGCGGCAUCCUGGACCGAGAUUGACGCUGAUGCGCGAAAGCCAGGGGAGCAAACGGG
rnacentral:rRNA from 1 species